AAAGUCGUAACAAGGUAUCCGUAGGUGAACCUGCGGAUGGAUCAUUAGUGAAUGCGGCGGACUGCGCGAGCGGUCCCGCCUGCAACCCACCCUUGUGCACUGUACCGUACCCUGGCGGCGGGGCCUCCGGGCCGCGCCGCCGAAGGGAGGCGACCCUCCGGGGCCGUUUUCCGAACCAACUCUGUUCAACACCGACUGACAUCCAAGUAUUCUAAUGUUAAACAACUUUUGACAACGGAUCUCUUGGCUCUC
rnacentral:misc_RNA from 1 species